rnacentral:rRNA from 1 species
AUGACGGUACCGUAAGAAUAAGCACCGGCUAACUACGUGCCAGCAGCCGCGGUAAUACGUAGGGUGCGAGCGUUAAUCGGAAUUACUGGGCGUAAAGCGUGCGCAGGCGGUCUUGUAAGACAGAUGUGAAAUCCCCGGGCUCAACCUGGGAACUGCAUUUGUGACUGCAAGGCUAGAGUGCGGCAGAGGGGGAUGGAAUUCCGCGUGUAGCAGUGAAAUGCGUAGAUAUGCGGAGGAACACCGAUGGCGAAGGCAAUCCCCUGGGCCUGCACUGACGCUCAUGCACGAAAGCGUGGGGAGCAAACAGGAUUAGAUACCCUGGUAGUCCACGCCCUAAACGAUGUCAACUGGUUGUUGGGUCUUCACUGACUCAGUAACGAAGCUAACGCGUGAAGUUGACCGCCUGGGGAG